AUGAGGACAUUACAAAAUUUGCCACAUGUGGCACAUGUUGCAGCUGAAGCUCUGUCGAGGUCAGCUCUCCCCAUAAAAUCUGCGAAAAGGAAAAACCUGAUGACGUCGCGAAAGGAAAGAAAAAAACAGUCCCUUUUUCCCUGGUUAAAUUGGUGGCGGCACACACACAUGAUCCCCGUGAAAGGGCUGAGAAGUUGGCAUGUCAAUUCAGGAGGCCGUGCGGUGUGGAUCAAGACGCGCUGCUGCAUAGGGAAAAGGAGUAAAGGAAGAAAACGUCUUGGGUUCCUGACUUGGCUUGUGAAGCAGAAUUCGUAUCUCAGACCACAUUAUGAACAUGAUAUCGCCUUUUUUCUUCUUCUUUCUUUUGCUUUUAUAUAUGUUUCUUGUUGCAGGGAAUGA
rnacentral:rRNA from 1 species